UUAUUUGAGUAAUUUACUUAUUGAUACUGCUUUGUCCACAUCAUCAUGCCCUGGAAACUGAGGCAUACAUGGUUCUAGCUCCUCUUUCAGACCACUUGAAAAUUGUCCCAUGAGUCAGAGGAAGGAACAGCGCAUUGUGACUAGAAGUUGGGGCUGGUUUCCCAGAUGGGUCAGGUCAGGGAAAUAGGCAGGCAUGGAGGGGGCAUGUCUGUAGCAGAAGCUGAGUAGCCAUCUUUGGCAAUGGGGGUCUUUAAGGAGCUCCGAUCCAUCUCAGCCUCUUUUCCCCCUGUUUUUGUCAGGUAGCUAAUCCAGAUGGCGACUUCCGACUCACAAUCGUCAAUUCCUCUGUGCUUGAUCGUCCCAGGGCUCUGGUCCUCGUGCCCCAAGAGGGGGUGAUGUUCUGGACAGACUGGGGAGACCUGAAGCCUGGGAUUUAUCGGAGCAAUAUGGAUGGUUCUGCUGCCUAUCGCCUGGUGUCAGAGGAUGUGAAGUGGCCCAAUGGCAUCUCUGUGGACGACCAGUGGAUUUACUGGACAGAUGCCUACCUGGACUGCAUAGAGCGGAUCACGUUCAG
rnacentral:sRNA from 1 species